CCUGCCCACUGAUUUAUUAAAUGGCCGCAGUAUUUUGACUGUGCAAAGGUAGCAUAAUCAUUAGUUUUUUAAUUAAAAGCUUGUAUGAAGGGUUGGACGAAGUAGAAUCUGUCUCUAUUUAAUUUAUAGUAGAAUUUAAUUUUUAAGUUAAAAAGCUUAAAUUUUUAUAAAAGACGAGAAGACCCUAUAGAUCUUUAUAUUUUUAUGAUUAAUUUUAAUUAAGAAUACUUUAUUUUUUAUUUAUAUAAAUAUUUUAUUGGGGUAAUAAAGAGAUUAAAUAAAUUCUUUUUGGUAUUAAAUAUUGAUUAAUAUAUAUAUGAUCCAAUAAUUUUGAUUAUAAGAUUAAGUUACCUUAGGGAUAACAGCGUAAUUUUUUUAGAGAGUUCAUAUCGAUAAAAAAGUUUGCGACCUCGAUGUUGGAUUAAAAAUUAUUC
rnacentral:rRNA from 1 species